rnacentral:rRNA from 1 species
GUCUAUGGCCAUACCACCCUGAACGCACCAAUCUCGUCUGAUCUCAGAAGCUAAGUACGGUCGAGCCUGGUUAGUACUUGAAUGGGAGACAAAUUGGUUUUGAUAAUUU